UCCGAGUUGACCCCGGCAGUCUUCGAUGAGUCCCCGCCAUAACGCGCUGGCAACAUCGAACAAGGGUUGCGCUCGUUGCGGGACUUAACCCAACAUCUCACGACACGAGCUGACGACAGCCAUGCACCACCUGUGACCGCCCCCGAAGGACCUCCCAUCUCUGGAAGAUUUGCGGCCAUGUCAAACCCAGGUAAGGUUCUUCGCGUUGCAUCGAAUUAAUCCGCAUGCUCCGCCGCUUGUGCGGGCCUCCGUCAAUUCCUUUGAGUUUUAGCCUUGCGACCGUACUCCCCAGGCGGGGCACUUAAUGCGUUAGCGACGGCGCGGAUCUCGUUGGUUGAGACCCGCACCUAGUGCCCAACGUUUACGGCGUGGACUAC
rnacentral:misc_RNA from 1 species